UCCAGGGGNAUAACANAUUGGAAACGANUGCUUAAUACCGCAUACNCCCUACNGGGGAAAGGAGGGGACCUUCGGGCCUUUCGCGAUUGGAUGAACCCAGGUGGGAUUANCUAGUUGGUGGGNUAAUGNCUCACCAUGGCGACGAUCCCUAGCUGNUCUGANAGGAUGAUCAGCCACACUGGAACUGAAACACGGUCCAGACUCCUACGGGAGNNAGCAGUGGGGAAUAUUGCACAAUGGGGGAAACCCUGAUGCAGCCAUGCCGCGUGUGUGAAGAAGGCCUUCGGGUUGUAAAGCACUUUCAGCGAGGAGGAAAGGUUGGCGCCUAAUACGUGUCAACUGUGACGUUACUCGCAGAAGAAGCACCGGCUAACUCCGUGCCAGCAGCCGCGGUAAUACGGAGGGUGCAAGCGUUAAUCGGAAUUACUGGGCGUAAAGCGCACGCAGGCGGUUGGAUAAGUUAGAUGUGAAAGCCCCGGGCUCAACCUGGGAAUUGCAUUUAAAACUGUCCAGCUAGAGUCUUGUAGAGGGGGGUAGAAUUCCAGGUGUAGCGGUGAAAUGCGUAGAGAUCUGGAGGAAUACCGGUGGCGAAGGCGGCCCCCUGGACAAAGACUGACGCUCAGGUGCGAAAGCGUGGGGAGCAAACAGGAUUANAUACCCUGGUAGUCCACGCCGUAAACGAUGUCGAUUUGGAGGCUGUGUCCUUGANACGUGGCUUCGGANCUAACGC
rnacentral:rRNA from 1 species